AUGAACGUUGGCGGCGUGGAUUAGGCAUGCAAGUCGGUCGUCCCGCAAGGGACGAGGCGCAAGGGUGAGUAAGGCGAAGGCAACCAACCCCCCACUUGGGUAUAGCCGCGGGAAACUGCGGGUAAUCCCCAGCGACGUCGCGAGGAGACAUCUCCUUGCGACCAAAGGUGUGAUUCCGGUGGGGGACGGGCCUUCGUGGUAUCAGGUAGUUGGUGGGGUAAUGGCUCACCAAGCCGAUGACGCCUACCGGGCGUGCGAGCGUGGCCCGGCACACUGGGACUGAGACACUGCCCAGACUCCUACGGGAGGCUGCAGUCGAGAAUCUUCGGCAAUGGGCGCAAGCCUGACCGAGCGACGCCGCGUGGAGGACGAAGGCCUUCGGGUUGUAAACUCCUGUCGAGGGGGAGGAAGGCUCCGUGAAGAACGGAGCUUGACCGAUCCCUGGAGGAAGCACGGGCUAAGUUCGU
rnacentral:rRNA from 1 species